UACGUAGGGUGCAAGCGUUGUCCGGAUUUAUUGGGUUUAAAGGGUGCGUAGGUGACUUUUUAAGUCAUGGGUGGAAUCCCACAGCUCAACUGUGGAACUGCCUGUGAUACUGACUAGCUUGAGUGCGGUUGAGGCAGCUGGAAUUGGUGGUGUAGCGGUGAAAUGCAUAGAUACCACCAGGAACACCGAUUGCGAAGGCAGGUUGCUAAGCCGUAACUGACACUGAGGCACGAAAGAGUGGGGAUCAAGCAGG
rnacentral:rRNA from 1 species